GCUCAGGGCCCAGACACUUGGAAUCAUUUAGAGAGUAUGUCGAGUGUGGGUGGAAAGGAAUGCGUGCCCAGAUGAAAAAUAAAAGAAAGUGAAAGAAAAACAGAGGGGAGAGAAGAUCUGGAGUACGUGUGUGAUAGACGGAAAAGGGCAAACAAGUGUUUCCAGCCACCUGAGAUAGAGGAGCGUUUUAAGUGGCGGAACGCGGAGAGCCUCGACGGAGUAGAGAAGGUGAAAAAAAGGACAUCGAAAUAAAGAAAAGAGAAAAACGAAAGUCAUACAGGUUUGGAAUGACAUGAGGGAUACCUCAAAGAGGAGAGGCCAUGCAGAAGGCCACCUGUGCCUAAGGAGGGGUCAUUAUGUCAUCUGUCAACACCACCUGCCCUGGCUUGUGUGGACUGAGUUGAACCCUUA